AGCAUGUAUAUUCCAACAACAAAUUAUAUUGGUCUAGGCAAAUGGAAUGAUUAUGCACAAUUUUAUUUCAUUUAUCUUAUUGUGUCAGCUGGUAAAAAUCUCAAACAACAUGUUGAGAGAUAUACAACCUCUAUAAAUUUAAUUUUGUGAUUUUGCCCAAAGCUGCGGUGCAUCCAUGUUUAACCAGUUUAAAAACAUGAGUUGCAAAGCUCCAAACCAACUCAAAUUAAAAAUCCUAAUUUAACCAGGACUCAAAGUUUAAUAUACAACUAAAAUUAAGCACUGAUAUGAUUCAAAACAGGAAUUUGUAAAAAGAG